rnacentral:rRNA from 1 species
UACGAAGGGGGCUAGCGUUGUUCGGAAUUACUGGGCGUAAAGCGUGCGCAGGCGGCUGCUCAAGUCAGGGGUGAAAGCCCAGAGCUCAACUCUGGAAUUGCCUUUGAGACUGAGUGGCUUGAGUACGGGAGAGGUGAGUGGAAUUCCCAGUGUAGAGGUGAAAUUCGUAGAUAUUGGGAAGAACACCGGUGGCGAAGGCGGCCAACUGGACAGAUACUGACGCUGAGACACGAAAGCGUGGGGAGCAAACAGG